rnacentral:rRNA from 1 species
UUCUUUGGAGAGUUUGAUCCUGGCUCAGGACGAACGCUGGCGGCGUGCCUAAUACAUGCAAGUCGAGCGGACUGGAUUGGAGCUUGCUCUGAUUCGGUCAGCGGCGGACGGGUGAGUAACACGUGGGCAACCUGCCCGCAAGACCGGGAUAACUCCGGGAAACCGGAGCUAAUACCGGAUAACACMGAAGACCGCAUG